CCCUUAGAUGUUCUGGGCUGCACGCGCGCUACACUGAUGCGUUCAACGAGUGUACAUCCUUGCCCGUUAGGGUUGGGUAAUCUUUUGAACACGCAUCGUGAUGGGGAUAGAUUAUUGCAAUUAUUAAUCUUCAACGAGGAAUUCCUAGUAAUGGUGAAUCAUCAGUUCAUCGUGAUUACGUCCCUGCCCUUUGUACACACCGCCCGUCGCUACUACCGAUUGAAUGGUUUAGUGAGGCCUUCGGAUCCGCAACUCGUUUUGUGGAGAAGUUGGACAAACUCAGUCAUUUAGAGGAAGUAAAANUCGUANCA
rnacentral:rRNA from 1 species